rnacentral:tRNA from 1 species
GGAUGUAGCGCAGCUGGUAGCGCGUUUGGUUUGGGACCAAAAUGUCGCAGGUUCAAAUCCUGUCAUCC